GAUGAACGCUGGCGGCGUGCCUAAUACAUGCAAGUCGAGCGAACGGACGAGAAGCUUGCUUCUCUGAUGUUAGCGGCGGACGGGUGAGUAACACGUGGAUAACCUACCUAUAAGACUGGGAUAACUUCGGGAAACCGUAGCUAAUACCGGAUAAUAUUUUGAACCGCAUGGUUCAAAAGUGAAAGACGGUCUUGCUGUCACUUAUAGAUGGAUCCGCGCUACAUUAGCUAGUUGGUAAGGUAACGGCUUACCAAGGCAACGAUGCAUAGCCGACCUGAGAGGGUGAUCGGCCACACUGGAACUGAGACACGGUCCAGACUCCUACGGGAGGCAGCAGUAGGGAAUCUUCCGCAAUGGGCGAAAGCCUGACGGAGCAACGCCGCGUGAGUGAUGAAGGUCUGCGGAUCGUAAAACUCUGUUAUUAGGGAAGAACAUAUGUGUAAGUAACUGUGCACAUCUUGACGGUACCUAAUCAGAAAGCCACGGCUAACUACGUG
rnacentral:rRNA from 1 species